rnacentral:tRNA from 1 species
GGCCAGAUAGUCUAGUGGUAAAUGACGACUUGGUAGAAUAACCUGUGAGCUCCAGUACACUUCUAUCAAGUAGGCGGGGUUCGAUUCCCUCUCUGGCCA